rnacentral:lncRNA from 10 species
CUGGGGGUAGCUGGGCGGCCUCCGGAGCCGGGAGAGUCGGCAGCUGCACUUCCGCCAGAGGUGGGUGUGUCCUUCACAUUUCAGGAAGGGAGACUUGGGGCCUGGAGAAGCGAUGUGAUUUUUCUUUUCUAGUUCAGUGCUGGUUUUGAUGGCUUUUUAUCAUGACCUUGUUAUGUCUUAUUUUAGUUUCGGCCCAUUUAGUGGAUACGACAACAGUGGCCCAGGGAGGUAUGGCAGAGCUGAGGCUUAACCCAGGGCCUGCGCCCUCCACGGCCUGCACUGCCCCACCUCCAGCUCCUUGCCCUGUUCCUCCCUCUGCACCGGAUCAGCCCCCGGACUCUGGGUCACCUCCACACCAGUUGACAGGGCCCCCCAGUCCCCACCGCCAACCACCUGGCCGGCUACUUGUCAGACAGACAUGGGGGCGUGGGCAUGGGUCCCCACCCCUAGCCUUUGCCUCUGUCACUCUACCUGCCUGGAAUGUCUACUUUUUCUUUAUAUUUUAUUUUAUUGUAUUUUUGAGACAGUCUCAUUGUCGCCCAGGCUGGAGCGCAGUGGCGCGAUCUUGGCUCGCUGCAACCUCUGUCUCCGGGGUUCAAGCGAUUCUCGGGCCUUAGCCUCCCGAGUAGCUGAGACUACAGGCGUGCACCACCAUGCCUGGCUAAUUUUUGCAUUUUUGGUGGAGACAGGGUUUCACCAUGUUGGCCAGGCUGGCCUGAACUCCUGACCUUAAGUGAUCCACUCGCCUAGGCCUUCCAAAGUGCUGGGAUUACAGGCGUGAGCCACCUCACCCAGCCUGGAGUGUCUCAUCUUCCACCACUAAAUGAAACGAUGGACCCUGAACAGAAAAAGGAACAGUGGUGGAAGAACUAGCAAAGCCCACAGCCUUGAGUUUGGCCGUGCCUGGCACGGUUGCUGUCCA